rfam:Aphanizomenon flos-aquae 2012/KM/D3 mira_30_len:47266, whole genome shotgun sequence.
GUUUCCAUCCCCUUGCGGGGAAGAGGUAAUGUCAAC